AAGUCGUAACAAGGUUUCCGUAGGUGAACCUGCGGAAGGAUCAUUAAUGAAAUACCUGGUUUGAUUUCAAACCAAUUUCAUACCCUGUGCACAUAACUAUUUUUAUUAUUAACGCUUCAGUUUUGGAUGUAACAAAUUGUUUAAUACAAUUAAAACAAAAUAAAACUUUCAGCAACGGAUCUCUUGGCUCUC
rnacentral:misc_RNA from 1 species